CGCAUCUGUGCAUGCAGCAUAUCAAUAAGCGGAGGAAAAGAAACUAACAAGGAUUCCCCUAGUAACGGCGAGUGAAGCGGGAAGAGCUCGAAUUUGAAAUCUUAAAGGGUUUCCCUUUACGAAUUGUAGUUUAAAGAAGUGUUUUCUGUUGAGGUUUUGGUAAAAGUUCUUUGGAAUAGGACAUCAUAGAGGGUGAGAAUCCCGUAUUUGACCUUCACUUUCAACUUUGUGAUACACUUUCAAAGAGUCGGAUUGUUUGGGAAUGCAGUCCAAAAUGGGUGGUAAAUUUCAUCUAAAGCUAAAUAUUGGCGAGAGACCGAUAGCGAACAAGUACCGUGAGGGAAAGAUGAAAAGAACUUUGAAAAGAGAGUUAAACAGUACGUGAAAUUGUCAAAAGGGAAGCGUUUGACACCAGUGUUGUUUUUCUGAAAAUCAAUUAAAGAACUGUUUAUGCUAAGCUGUUUAGACUUUAUCAGCUAACUGUUUAGUUUUGAGCUUUUCUUUAAUGCACUUUUCAGUUAACAAGUCAACAUCAAUUUCUUUUGCUGUAAAAAAGCUUGAGGAAGGUGGCUUGAGAUUCGUCUUAAGUGUUUAUAGCCUCUUGCCUAUGCAGUCGGAGAGAUUGAGGUCUGCAGCGUAGAUCCUUCGGGGCUAAAUGCAUUUGUGCUAAGUUAUAGCAUUUUAUAGACAACUUGUUGACUAUGAUUUGUCUUGUAGCUUACUCGCUUAUGUUAUUUUACCUACGCUUAGGAUGUUGAGUCGUAGAGCACGCAG
rnacentral:rRNA from 1 species